UGGGAGGGUGAUACACAGGUAGAAGCAAGAUGUGUUCUGGCUGCCACAAACCUUCCCUACAAUAAAACUGCCUUCUGAUGACCAGGGCGAACUGAAAGAAAUCACAACGGACAGAUACGAGGCUGAACAAC